AUUUAAUCUGCCAAAAGUGAUUUCUCUGAGUUUGGAACCAAGUGAAAAACUUUUUAAUGCUGACAAUCAGAUUCCUGACCCUGACAUCUGGAUUACAGUGACUCAAGAGACAAAGAAAAAAGAGACUAUGGUUGAUCAACAUCCUAACAACUACUAGUAUAAAUCCUACAGAAAAGGUCAGAAAAACUGACAGAGAAGUUGUG